UACGUAGGGUGCGAGCGUUGUCCGGAAUUAUUGGGCGUAAAGAGCUCGUAGGUGGUUUGUCGCGUUGUUCGUGAAAACUCACAGCUUAACUGUGGGCGUGCGGGCGAUACGGGCAGACUGGAGUACUGCAGGGGAGACUGGAAUUCCUGGUGUAGCGGUGGAAUGUGCAGAUAUCAGGAGGAACACCGGUGGCGAAGGCGGGUCUCUGGGCCGAUACUGACGCUGAGGAGCGAAAGCGUGGGGAGCGAACAGGA
rnacentral:rRNA from 1 species